UCUCUCCCUCGGUUCCCUCUUCCUUUCCCGGAUCUGUCGCCGCCGCCGCCGCUACUGUGCAUGCACAGGCGGCGGCUUCGCCCUCCUCCGCGCCUCGUGCUACCGGAGCAGCUUCCCGGCGUCACUCCAGCCCCGGCCGCCUCCUCCUCGCCGAACUCCCGGAAGAUUUGUCAAGAUUUUAUUGAAAGUCAUAGAGGUGUGAGGCUGCCUUCGUCGUCUCCGGGAUGCCGAGCUCGCUGCCGGAAUCCGACAGAUUCAUAGAGGUAUAAUCGGUUCAAGUUCGUGGCCGUCCGUGUUGAAGUACCCGAUUUUCUUAAAACGCAUGAUGUACAAAUUUAAUUUUGUUGGAUUUUUGUUGAAUGUAUCGGACAUUUAACAUUUUGAUUGUGGAACCUUAUUUAUUA